CCUACGGGAGGCAGCAGUAGGGAAUCUUCCACAAUGGGCGAAAGCCUGAUGGAGCAACGCCGCGUGGGUGAAGAAGGUCUUCGGAUCGUAAAACCCUGUUGUUAGAGAAGAAAGUUCGUGAGAGUAACUGUUCACGUUUCGACGGUAUCAAACCAGAAAGCCACGGCUAACUACGUGCCAGCAGCCGCGGUAAUGCGUAGGUGGCAAGCGUUAUCCGGAUUUAUUGGGCGUAAAGGGAACGCAGGCGGUCUUUUAAGUCUGAUGUGAAAGCCUUCGGCUUAACCGGAGUAGUGCAUUGGAGACUGGCAGACUUGAGUGCAGAAGAGGAAGGUGGAACUCGAUGUGUAGCGGUGAAAUGCGUAGAUAUAUGGAAGAACACCAAUGGCGAAGGCAGCUCUCUGAUCUGUAACUGACACUGAGGUUCGAAAGCGUGGGUAGCAAACAGGAUUAGAUACCCUGGUAGUC
rnacentral:rRNA from 1 species